UACGUAGGGGGCAAGCGAUGUCCGGAUUUAUUGGGCGUAAAGAGCGUGUAGGCGGCCAGGUAGGUCUGCUGUGAAAACUCGAGGCUUAACCUCGAGCUGUCGGCGGAAACCAUCUGGCUAGAGUCCGGAAGAGGAGAAUGGAAUUCCCGGUGUAGCGGUGAAAUGCGCAGAUAUCAGGAAGAACACCCGUGGCGAAGGCGGUUCUCUGGGACGGUACUGACGCUGAGACGCGAAAGCGUGGGGAGCGAACAGG
rnacentral:rRNA from 1 species